rnacentral:rRNA from 1 species
CCCUUAGAUGUCCGGGGCCGCACGCGCGCUACACUGAAGGAAUCAGCGUGGCUUUCUCCCUGACCCGAAAGGGUUGGGAAACCCGUUGAAUCUCCUUCGUGAUAGGGAUUGGGGCUUGAAAUUGUUCCCCAUGAACGAGGAAUUCCCAGUAAGCGCGAGUCAUAAGCUCGCGGUGAUUACGUCCCUGCCCUUUGUACACACCGCCCGUCGCUACUACCGAUUGAACGGUUUAGUGAGGGCCUCGGAUUGGUCUCGGCCCGCUCUUUACCGGGCGGCGCCGUUGGUCGAGAAGACGCUCGAACUUGAUCGUUUAGAGGAAGUAAAAGUCGUAACA